UACGUAGGUGGCAAGCGUUGUCCGGAUUUAUUGGGUUUAAAGGGUGCGUAGGCGGCCUUGUAAGUCAGUGGUGAAAUACUCCAGCUUAACUGGAGGGGUGCCAAUGAUACUGCAGGGCUUGAGUACAGAUGAGGUAGGCGGAAUUGACGGUGUAGCGGUGAAAUGCAUAGAUAUCGUCAAGAACACCGAUAGCGUAGGCAGCUUACUGGGCUGUAACUGACGCUGAGGCACGAAAGUGUGGGGAUCAAACAGG
rnacentral:rRNA from 1 species